rnacentral:rRNA from 1 species
AGGGUUCGAUUCUGGCUCAGGAUGAACGCUGGCGGCGUGCUUAACACAUGCAAGUCGAACGGGAUCCAUCAGGCUUUGCUUGGUGGUGAGAGUGGCGAACGGGUGAGUAAUGCGUGACCGACCUGCCCCAUACACCGGAAUAGCUCCUGGAAACGGGUGGUAAUGCCGGAUGCUCCGACUCCUCGCAUGGGGGUGUCGGGAAAGAUUUCAUCGGUAUGGGAUGGGGUCGCGUCCUAUCAGGUAGUCGGCGGGGUAACGGCCCACCGAGCCUACGACGGGUAGCCGGCCUGAGAGGGCGACCGGCCACAUUGGGACUGAGAUACGGCCCAGACUCCUACGGGAGGCAGCAGUGGGGAAUAUUGCACAAUGGGCGCAAGCCUGAUGCAGCGACGCCGCGUGCGGGAUGACGGCCUUCGGGUUGUAAACCGCUUUUGAUCGGGAGCAAGCCUUCGGGUGAGUGUACCUUUCGAAUAAGCACCGGCUAACUACGUGCCAGCAGCCGCGGUAAUACGUAGGGUGCAAGCGUUAUCCGGAAUUAUUGGGCGUAAAGGGCUCGUAGGCGGUUCGUCGCGUCCGGUGUGAAAGUCCAUCGCUUAACGGUGGAUCUGCGCCGGGUACGGGCGGGCUGGAGUGCGGUAGGGGAGACUGGAAUUCCCGGUGUAACGGUGGAAUGUGUAGAUAUCGGGAAGAACACCAAUGGCGAAGGCAGGUCUCUGGGCCGUUACUGACGCUGAGGAGCGAAAGCGUGGGGAGCGAACAGGAUUAGAUACCCUGGUAGUCCACGCCGUAAACGGUGGAUGCUGGAUGUGGGGCCCGUUCCACGGGUUCCGUGUCGGAGCUAACGCGUUAAGCAUCCCGCCUGGGGAGUACGGCCGCAAGGCUAAAACUCAAAGAAAUUGACGGGGGCCCGCACAAGCGGCGGAGCAUGCGGAUUAAUUCGAUGCAACGCGAAGAACCUUACCUGGGCUUGACAUGUUCCCGACAGCCGUAGAGAUAUGGCCUCCCUUCGGGGCGGGUUCACAGGUGGUGCAUGGUCGUCGUCAGCUCGUGUCGUGAGAUGUUGGGUUAAGUCCCGCAACGAGCGCAACCCUCGCCCUGUGUUGCCAGCACGUCAUGGUGGGAACUCACGGGGGACCGCCGGGGUCAACUCGGAGGAAGGUGGGGAUGACGUCAGAUCAUCAUGCCCCUUACGUCCAGGGCUUCACGCAUGCUACAAUGGCCGGUACAACGGGAUGCGACACGGCGACGUGGAGCGGAUCCCUGAAAACCGGUCUCAGUUCGGAUUGGAGUCUGCAACCCGACUCCAUGAAGGCGGAGUCGCUAGUAAUCGCGGAUCAGCAACGCCGCGGUGAAUGCGUUCCCGGGCCUUGUACACACCGCCCGUCAAGUCAUGAAAGUGGGUAGCACCCGAAGCCGGUGGCCUAACCCUUUGUGGAUGGAGCCGUCUAAGGUGAGACUCGUGAUUGGGACUAAGUCGUAACAAGGUAGCCGUACCGGAAGGUGCGGCUGGAUCACCU